rnacentral:rRNA from 1 species
AGAGUUUGAUCCUGGCUCAGAUUGAACGCUGGCGGCAUGCCUUACACAUGCAAGUCGAACGGCAGCAUGAUCUAGCUUGCUAGAUUGAUGGCGAGUGGCGAACGGGUGAGUAAUACAUCGGAACGUGCCCUGUAGUGGGGGAUAACUAGUCGAAAGAUUAGCUAAUACCGCAUACGACCUGAGGGUGAAAGUGGGGGACCGCAAGGCCUCAUGCUAUAGGAGCGGCCGAUGUCUGAUUAGCUAGUUGGUGAGGUAAAGGCUCACCAAGGCGACGAUCAGUAGCUGGUCUGAGAGGACGAUCAGCCACACUGGGACUGAGACACGGCCCAGACUCCUACGGGAGGCAGCAGUGGGGAAUUUUGGACAAUGGGCGAAAGCCUGAUCCAGCAAUGCCGCGUGUGUGAAGAAGGCCUUCGGGUUGUAAAGCACUUUUGUCCGGAAAGAAAUGGCUCUGGUUAAUACCUGGGGUCGAUGACGGUACCGGAAGAAUAAGGACCGGCUAACUACGUGCCAGCAGCCGCGGUAAUACGUAGGGUCCAAGCGUUAAUCGGAAUUACUGGGCGUAAAGCGUGCGCAGGCGGUUGUGCAAGACCGAUGUGAAAUCCCCGAGCUUAACUUGGGAAUUGCACUGGUGACUGCACGGCUAGAGUGUGUCAGAGGGGGGUAGAAUUCCACGUGUAGCAGUGAAAUGCGUAGAGAUGUGGAGGAAUACCGAUGGCGAAGGCAGCCCCCUGGGAUAACACUGACGCUCAUGCACGAAAGCGUGGGGAGCAAACAGGAUUAGAUAC